rnacentral:rRNA from 1 species
GACAGAGGUGCCAAGCGUUAGGCGGAAUCACUGGGCUUAAGGCGUGUGUAGGUGGAUUUGUAAGUACCUUGUGAAAUCCCAUGGCUCAACCAUGGAACUGCUCGGUAUACUGCGAAUCUUGAGCCACUUAGGGGCUACCGGAACAAAUGGUGGAGCGGUGAAAUGCGUAGAUAUCAUUUGGAACGCCAAUGGUGAAAACAGGUAGCUGGGAGUGUGCUGACACUGAGACACGAAAGCCAGGGGAGCGAACGGG